GAUCUCCGACUUCUCCUCAGUUGUCGAAUAAAUAUUUCGCCUUUUAGUAAAUAUUUCCGUGGUGAGGAGCACUCUAAUGUGUCUUUAAGAAUUUUUAAGGGUUUACGACCAUUGGUUGC